UACGGAGGGUGCAAGCGUUAUCCGGAUUCACUGGGUUUAAAGGGAGCGUAGGAGGGCAGGUAAGUCAGUGGUGAAAUCUCCGGGGCUUAACUCGGAACUGCCGUUGAGUACUAUCGUCUUGAAUGCCGUGGAGAUGAGCGGAAUAUGUCAUGUAGCGGUGAAAUGGCUUAGAUAUGACAUAGAACACCAUUGCGAAGGCAGCUCGUUACACGAACAUUGACUCUGAGGCUCGAAAAGCGUGGGGAGCAAACAGG
rnacentral:rRNA from 1 species